rnacentral:rRNA from 1 species
AACGAACGCUGGCGGCAUGCCUAACACAUGCAAGUCGAACGAGACCUUCGGGUCUAGUGGCGCACGGGUGCGUAACGCGUGGGAACCUGCCCUUAGGUUCGGAAUAACUCCCCGAAAGGGGUGCUAAUACCGGAUAAUGUCUUCGGACCAAAGAUUUAUCGCCUUUGGAUGGGCCCGCGUUGGAUUAGCUAGUUGGUAGGGUAAAAGCCUACCAAGGCGACGAUCCAUAGCUGGUCUGAGAGGAUGAUCAGCCACACUGGGACCGAGACACGGCCCAGACUCCUACGGGAGGCAGCAGUGGGGAAUAUUGGACAAUGGGCGAAAGCCUGAUCCAGCAAUGCCGCGUGAGUGAUGAAGGCCUUAGGGUUGUAAAGCUCCUUUACCCGGGAUGAUAAUGACAGUACCGGGAGAAUAAGCUCCGGCUAACUCCGUG